GAGUUUGAUCAUGGCUCAGAUUGAACGCUGGCGGCAUGCCUUACACAUGCAAGUCGAACGGCAGCAUGAUCUAGCUUGCUAGAUUGAUGGCGAGUGGCGAACGGGUGAGUAAUACAUCGGAACGUGCCCUGUAGUGGGGGAUAACUAGUCGAAAGAUUAGCUAAUAUCGCAUACGACCUGAGGGUGAAAGUGGGGGACCGCAAGGCCUCAUGCUAUAGGAGCGGCCGAUGUCUGAUUAGCUAGUUGGUGGGGUAAAGGCCCACCAAGGCGACGAUCAGUAGCUGGUCUGAGAGGACGAUCAGCCACACUGGGACUGAGACACGGCCCAGACUCCUACGGGAGGCAGCAGUGGGGAAUUUUGGACAAUGGGCGAAAGCCUGAUCCAGCAAUGCCGCGUGUGUGAAGAAGGCCUCGGUUGUAAG
rnacentral:rRNA from 1 species